rnacentral:Y_RNA from 1 species
GGCUGAUGUGAGGGUAGUGAGUUAUCUCACUUGAUUGUUCAUAGUCAGUUAGAUUGAACUCCUUGUUCUGCUACUUUCUCCCCUUCUCACUACUGCACUUGACUAGUCUUAA